rnacentral:lncRNA from 10 species
CCCUUCUGCCAUGUGAGGACACACAGAAGUCACCAUCUAUAAGAAACAGGCUCCCACCAGACACUGAGUCUGCUGGAGCCUUGAUCUUGAAUUUCCCAACCUCCAGAACUGUGGCCACCAGACUUUCUCUGCUUGUAUCCUCCCAGGACCACAGAACUCAUCGCAUCCCAAGGCAGCCUAUUCCAUCAUGGAUGAGCUCAAAGUGUUUGAAAGUUCUGCUUUAUCAAAAAACGUAUGAGGAAGAAAAUAGCAGAUGAGAAGAAUCAACCAAAUUCCGGAAGCUGGAAGGCAGAUGCAAGAAGGCCCUUGAAUGAUGCCAGCACCUUGAUAUUGGACUUUCCAGCCUCCAGAACCAUGAGCCAAUACAUUUCUGUUCCAUAAAAAUUACCCAGUUCCAGGUAUUCUGCUAUAGCAGCACAAAAUGGACUAAAACAAUGUUGGCACAAGACUCAGUGCUGGGCCUGGCAUGCAACAGGUCCUUGGAGUGGCGUGCUGUGUGGAUAAUGAAUAUUGGGGAAGGCAUCUCUCUCCAGCCCCUCUCAAGCUUUCUGUAGUCACUGGUCCACUCUGUAUUGCUAUGAAGAAGCUCAAGACCAGCCUGUAUCACUCGGGGUCCUGGCAGGAACCAGGUGCCACACUCAAACUGAGUAAUUGAAGAGGGUUUAAUAUGGGAGUUAUUUACAUAGGUGUGGGCUGGUGUAGCUGCCCAUAUGCCCUCAAAAUCACCUCUACAUGGCAAUAGCUACUUACUGCUAACAGAGUCUCUCUCUCAUUGCUGCAAAUAUUUUCUAGCCAUGCAAGAAACUCAGCCGGUCAUGUUGAACAAACUAAGAGUGCCAGGAAGUUAAUGUCCUGGAAGCAUUGCCAGAGGGGAGGGGGCAGUUAGAUUCCCCAGCUUCCUCGCUCCUCUGCUGGGUUAAGCCUGCAACAUAUUCAUCAUCUCCCAGAGUGCUGCCCAGGGAUAGAGCUCCAGGUGCUCAGUGUGGUGACCUGCUCAUGUCAGCUUCUUCCCCUUUCCUGUCUUGUUUCGCACCCACAUCCUUCCCAUGUUUCCUCUUCCCAAAUAAACUACUUGCAUUGAAAUCUUUGUCUCAGGCUCUG